AUCCAGAUGACGAGUCCAAAAAUAGGACGAAAUGAGCACCCUGGAU
rnacentral:hammerhead_ribozyme from 1 species